UUGAAGCCCAGAUUAGGAGCCGAUUGGGAUAUCCACGUUUUCUCUCUAUCGAUCGAUCUCGACCAAACCCUAAACCCGCUGCGCUGCGGCAGCCGAGAUCGUUCGAAUCGGUUCCGAAGGCGAACGAGGUUGACAAAUUCUGAUACAAAAUGUCUCGGGUUUAUGUUGGAAAUUUGGACUCACGAACCACAGAAAAAGAUCUGGAAGAUGAAUUCCGAACAUUUGGUGUUCUUCGAAGUGUUUGGGUUGCUCGAAGGCCACCUGGUUAUGGCUUUGUUGAAUUUGAUGAUCGAAGAGAUGCAUUAGAUGCCAUUCAUGAUUUAGAUGGGAAACAUGGGUGGCGUGUGGAGCUUUCUCAUAAUUCUAAAGGCGAAGGUGGUGGGCGUGAUAGGCGUGGACGAGGUGGUGGUGGUGGGGACAUGAAUUGUUAUGAGUGUGGUGAACCUGGUCAUUUUGCGCGUGAGUGUAGAUUACGCAUUGGGUCAGGUGGUUUAGGAAGCGGAAGGCGUAGAAGCCCUAGUCCUCCCCGCCAUCGCAGUAGCCCUAGCUAUGGCCGUGGAAAUCGAAGCCCACGAGGGAGAAGAUCUCCUCGUCGUCGCAGCUAUUCUCCUAAAAGUAGGUCACCAGCUAAUCGUCGUAGAGAUUCUCCUAAUGCUAAUAGAAGUCGCAGCCCAGUAACGAGAAAUUCUUCUCGUCGCAGCUAUUCUCCUAAAAGUAGGUCACCAGCAUAUCGUCGUAGAGAUUCUCCUAAUACCAAUAGAAGUAGCAGCCCAGGAGCGAGAAAAUCUCCUCGUCGCAGCUAUUCGCCUAGGAGUAGAUCUCCUGCUCAUCGGCGUGAAGCUUCUCCUUUUGUCAAUAAAAGUCCUGGCCCUGAGAAGAACUACAGUCCUUCACUGCCAAAUCACCCUGAACAAUCUCCUUAUGCCAAUGGCAGGGAUGGCAAACAGAGCAGGAGCAGGAGCAGGAGCAGGAGCAGGAGCAAUAGCUGAACUACAUUAUGGUCAUCGGAAACUGUUACAAGUGGGGGGACCUUGGAGUAUCUUUGGACCUACUAUAAUUUAGUUUGCUUAAAGUGGUUAAGUUCGAACAAUGAAGCUUUGGAUCCUUCCAUUGGUUGGAGCACUCUCCUCAGCUUACUGGCAUAUGGAGAGGUUACUUUUCUAGUGUGGUUCUGCUAAGAUCUAGAUCGGCCGCACCAUGGGCUGCUCUUCUCCACACUGUCUCGGCUUUUCUGCUUCUCCCAAUCUAUUUCUGCUAGGUCCUAUGGCAUCUCAAAAAUGGUACUCGGCUCUGUGCUCGCGGGCAUGAUGAAUCACUGGCAGAUGCUUGAAAAGAUAAGAAACUUCAUGGCACUGUUAAGUUUUUGGUUUUGCCAGGAUAUACCGAUCAAGUUCAUUCCUACUGGAGUUUGAUAGGGUGUUUGCUUUAGUUCAUAUCAAGCUAUUGAUCAAAGUUUUAUUUUGAUGUAGUAGUGAUUAUCGACUAAAAUACUUGGACCAUGCCUCUACUGACUAAGAAUGCUGUGCUGUGUUCUGUUAAAGAAUGCUCAAUCUAGCCUUUCUUUCAGUUAA